rnacentral:lncRNA from 1 species
GUUUUCCGUAGUGACUGUACUAGUUUACAUUCCCACCAGCAGGGUAAAAGUGUUCCCUGUUCACCACACUCAAGUCAACAUCUACUGUUUUUUGAUUUUUUUAAUUAUGGCCAAAAGAAUGAUUAAGUUUUCAUGAAGUUUACCAAAUUAUCCUCCAAAAAUAAUUGUACUACAAUCAACAGUAAAGAGAGUAACUCUUUCCCCCACACUUGGAUAUAAUCUUUUACAUUUUUGCAAUGUAGUCAGCCUCCACAGGAUAUAUUGUUUUUUAUUUCGUUUUUCUGCAUAUUUACAAAGUUAGAUAUCUUCUCAUGUACCCACUUGUCAUUUGCAUGUCUUUUUCUGUAAGUUACUAGUUUAUAUCUAUUGCCCAUUUUUCUAUUGGGAUUUUUACAUUGUACUCACUAAUUUGUAGAAGAGUUUUGUGCAUUCCAGAUAUAUUUGGGUUGAUGACUCAUAUAUUUCUAUCCAUGUCUUGUAUUUAUCUUCUAAUUUCACUCACAGGGCGUCUGUUCUUAAGCAGGAGUUUAAACGGUAGUAUCAAGCAUGUCUAUCUUUUCCAUAAUGGCACCUGCAUCUUGUUAUUUCUUGUACCUUUCUAAUUGUGUGUUUGUGGUUGGCUCUUUUAUCCACUUGGAGUGGAUUUUCUGUGUAUGGUGUGAGGAGAAGCUCCGUCUUUCCUCUCUUAUCAUAUAAGUAACCUUGUAUUGAUAACAUAUUAAAUUGCCAUAUGUACUUGAGUUCUUUUCUAGAAUCUGUAUGUUGCCUCAUGUCUUCUUUGCCUUUGUCUAUCAUAACACCACAUUAAAAAAGUGUUUAACCUCAGCUGGGUGUGGUGGUGUGUGCCUGUAGUCCCAGCUACUCAGGAAGCUGAGGUGUGGGGAAUCAUUUGAGCCUGGGAGUUUGAAGCUGCAGUGAGCUAUGAUUGCAUCUCUGCACUGUAGCCUGGGCAACAGAGCAAGACCCUGUCUCAAAUAGAAUUAAUAAAAUAAAUUAAAUAGUAAAAUAAAACCAAACAAUUUAAAUCUCUAUAGGAUUUUUCAGUAAUUUGUCAGGCAAUCUCCCCACCUCUACCACCAUCGUCUUGUCAUAUUGGGUUGCAUCUUAUACAUUGUCUCCUCCAGAUAAAUUUUGGAAUCCAGUUCCAUUUGUUAAAAUCCUCUUCGGAUUUGUACUGGAAUUGCAAUGAACUAUAGAUCAAUAUGACAGAAACUGGAAUCUUUACAAUACUGAGUCUCCCCAUACAGAAAAAAAAAAAAAAAAA